UGGGGAAUAUUGCACAAUGGGCGCAAGCCUGAUGCAGCCAUGCCGCGUGUAUGAAGAAGGCCUUCGGGUUGUAAAGUACUUUCAGCGGGGAGGAAGGGAGUAAAGUUAAUACCUUUGCUCAUUGACGUUACCCGCAGAAGAAGCACCGGCUAACUCCGUUCCAGCAGCCGCGGUAAUACGGAGGGUGCAAGCGUUAAUCGGAAUUACUGGGCGUAAAGCGCACGCAGGCGGUUUGUUAAGUCAGAUGUGAAAUCCCCGGGCUCAACCUGGGAACUGCAUCUGAUACUGGCAAGCUUGAGUCUCGUAGAGGGGGGUAGAAUUCCAGGUGUAGCGGUGAAAUGCGUAGAGAUCUGGAGGAAUACCGGUGGCGAAGGCGGCCCCCUGGACGAAGACUAACGCUCAGGUGCGAAAGCGUGGGGAGCAAACAGG
rnacentral:rRNA from 1 species